GGGAUUUUGGUCCUGCUGAAAGAGAAUAGCACAAUUCUACAAGGACGCUGUCUAUAGAAGACAGAAGAUUGCUCUGUUGUUAUGGUGAUGCCUCCUUCAUGCAAGAACACUGAGAGAAGGAGGGCCAUCAAUAUUGGAGCUCAGCACAGAAGAACCUCCAAGAGUUGAACUUAGAGGAAUGCUCAGUGUUGUUGUUCGUGCAGGAAGUGACACGUGUCACUUCUGGGAUUGUGUCGGUGCAGACAAGCAGGGAGCAGGUUGGUCAGUCACCUCACGGCACCGAAGCUCGCAGCAGGACACCUGUGGACUGAUAAAUCACAAAUCACAGUGCAGAGACAGAGCUCGGCUGGUGUUGCAUCAUGUGCAGAUUUUCCAGACUUUAUAUUCCUAUUGGCUGGAGAUGUCUGACUGUUGAACUGUGGCUAACCUGGCAGGCCCAUGAAUUCAUCUAACUCAUCAUGAGAAAGAAAAGAUCAACGUGCAUCAGCGAUAAACAUCAGCCAGGACUCAACGCUGAACAGGAAGAGAGAUCAGUCAGUCUGGAGUUUUGUCCGUGGAGGCCAGGUGAGCGAGGCCUCUUAUUGGUCGGAGAGGAUCAGGCCAAACAGCCAACCCAGGCC